rnacentral:rRNA from 1 species
UACGUAGGGAGCAAGCGUUGUCCGGAAUCAUUGGGCGUAAAGCGCGCGUAGGCGGACCUGCAAGUCGGGGGUGAAAGCCCGAGGCUCAACCUCGGAACUGCCUUCGAUAACUGCGGGUUCUCGAGUCCGGGAGAGGUGAGUGGAAUUCCGUAGUGUAGAGGUGAAAUUGUAGAUAUUAGGAAGAAACACCAGUGGCGAAGGCGGCUCACUGGGCCCCGGUACUGACGGCUGAGGCGCGAAAGCGUGGGGAGCAAACAGG